UUCGGAUUAAUACUCCAUAAUACUGCGAGAAGGCAUCUUUUUUCAGUUAAAGCUUCGGCGGUCAGAGAUGGGCAUGCGUAACAUUAGCUGGUUGGUGAGGUAACAGCUCACCAAGGCUACGAUGUUUAGGGGGUCUGAGAGGAUGGGCUCCCACACUGGUACUGAGACACGGACCAGACUCCUACGGGAGGCAGCAGUGAGGAAUAUUGGUCAAUGGGCGAAAGCCUGAACCAGCCAUGCCGCGUGAAGGAUGACGGCCCUAUGGGUUGUAAACUUCUUUUAUACGGGAAGAAACCCCUCUACGUGUAGGGGGCUGACGGUACCGUACGAAUAAGCAUCGGCUAACUCCGUGCCAGCAGCCGCGGUAAUACGGAGGAUGCAAGCGUUAUCCGGAUUUAUUGGGUUUAAAGGGUGCGUAGGCGGAAAAUUAAGUCAGUGGUGAAAUCCUGCAGCUUAACUGUAGAAUUGUCAUUGAUACUGGUUUUCUUGAAUACAGUUGAGGUAGGCGGAAUGAGUAAUGUAGCGGUGAAAUGCUUAGAUAUUACUCAGAACACCAAUUGCGAAGGCAGCUUACUAAACUGUGAUUGACGCUGAGGCACGAAAGCGUGGGGAGCGAACAGGAUUAGAUACCCUGGUAGUCCACGCCGUAAACGAUGAUCACUCGUUGUUGGCAAUACACCGUCAGCGACUGAGCGAAAGUAUUAAGUGAUCCACCUGGGGAGUACGAUUGCAAGAUUGAAACUCAAAGGAAUUGACGGGGGCCCGCACAAGCGGAGGAACAUGUGGUUUAAUUCGAUGAUACGCGAGGAACCUUACCUGGGCUUAAAUGCAUAACGACGGAUCGGGAAACUGGUCUUUCUUCGGACGGAAUGCAAGGUGCUGCAUGGCUGUCGUCAGCUCGUGCCGUGAGGUGUCGGGUUAAGUCCCAUAACGAGCGCAACCCUCAUCAUUAGUUGCCAGCGGGUAAUGCCGGGGACUCUAAUGAAACUGCCGGUGUAAACCGAGAGGAAGGCGAGGAUGACGUCAAGUCAGCACGGCCCUUAUGUCCAGGGCUACACACGUGUUACAAUGGUCAGUACAAAGGGCAGCUACCAGGCAACUGGAUGCUAAUCUCAAAAGCUGGUCACAGUUCGGAUCGGAGUCUGCAACUCGACUUCGUGAAGUUGGAUUCGCUAGUAAUCGCGCAUCAGCCAUGGCGCGGUGAAUACGUUCCCGGGCCUUGUACACACCGCCCGUCAAGCCAUGGAAGCCGGGGGUACCUGAAGUUCGUAACCGAGAGGAUCG
rnacentral:rRNA from 1 species